AGUCGAGGGGCAGCAUGGGAGUAGUAAUACUUCUGAUGGCGACCGGCGCACGGGUGCGUAACGCGUAUGCAACCUACCUGUAACAGGGGGAUAACACUGAGAAAUCGGUACUAAUACCGCAUAACACUAUGAGAGGCAUCUCUUGUGGUUGAAAGUUUCGGCGGUUACAGAUGGGCAUGCGUUGUAUUAGCUGGUUGGUAAGGUAACGGCUUACCAAGGCGACGAUACAUAAGGGGACUGAGAGGUUAACCCCCCACAUUGGUACUGAGACACGGACCAAACUCCUACGGGAGGCAGCAGUGAGGAAUAUUGGUCAAUGGACGGAAGUCUGAACCAGCCAUGCCGCGUGCAGGAAGACGGCUCUAUGAGUUGUAAACUGCUUUUGUACAAGGGUAAACCUGAAUACGUGUAUUCAGCUGAAAGUACUGUACGAAUAAGGAUCGGCUAACUCCGUGCCAGCAGCCGCGGUAAUACGGAGGAUCCAAGCGUUAUCCGGAUUUAUUGGGUUUAAAGGGUGCGUAGGCGGAUUGAUAAGUUAGAGGUGAAAUGUCCGAGCUUAACUCGGGAACUGCCUCUAAUACUGUUGAUCUAGAGAGUAGAUGCGGUAGGCGGAAUGUAUGGUGUAGCGGUGAAAUGCUUAGAGAUCAUACAGAACACCGAUUGCGAAGGCAGCUUACCAAUCUAUAUCUGACGUUGAGGCACGAAAGCGUGGGGAGCAAACAGGAUUAGAUACCCUGGUAGUCCACGCAGUANACGAUGAUAGCUCGUUNUCGGCGAUACACAGUCGGUGACUA
rnacentral:rRNA from 1 species